GACGAACGCUGGCGGCGCGCCUAACACAUGCAAGUCGAGCGAGAACCAGGACUUCGGUUCUGGGGACAGCGGCGAACGGGUGAGUAACACGUGGAUAACCUGCCCUCGGCACCGGAAUAGCCCGGGGAAACCCGGAUUAAUGCCGGAUAGCCCCACAUCCUCGAGAGGAAGUGGGAAAAGGUAGCUUCGGCCUCUGGCCGAGGAUGGGUCCGCGGUGGAUUAGCUUGUUGGCGGGGUAAUGGCCCACCAAGGCGACGAUCCAUAGCUGGUCUGAGAGGACGAUCAGCCACACUGGGACUGAGACACGGCCCAGACUCCUACGGGAGGCAGCAGUGGGGAAUCUUGCGCAAUGGGCGAAAGCCUGACGC
rnacentral:rRNA from 1 species